rnacentral:rRNA from 1 species
GCAAGUCGAACGGUAACAUUUCUAGCUUGCUAGAAGAUGACGAGUGGCGGACGGGUGAGUAAUGCUUGGGAACUUGCCUUUGCGAGGGGGAUAACAGUUGGAAACGACUGCUAAUACCGCAUAAUGUCUUCGGACCAAACGGGGCUUCGGCUCCGGCGCAAAGAGAGGCCCAAGUGAGAUUAGCUAGUUGGUAAGGUAACGGCUUACCAAGGCGACGAUCUCUAGCUGUUCUGAGAGGAAGAUCAGCCACACUGGGACUGAGACACGGCCCAGACUCCUACGGGAGGCAGCAGUGGGGAAUAUUGCACAAUGGGGGAAACCCUGAUGCAGCCAUGCCGCGUGUGUGAAGAAGGCCUUCGGGUUGUAAAGCACUUUCAGUUGUGAGGAAAAGUUAGUAGUUAAUACCUGCUAGCCGUGACGUUAACAACAGAAGAAGCACCGGCUAACUCCGUGCCAGCAGCCGCGGUAAUACGGAGGGUGCGAGCGUUAAUCGGAAUUACUGGGCGUAAAGCGCACGCAGGCGGUUUGUUAAGCUAGAUGUGAAAGCCCCGGGCUCAACCUGGGAUGGUCAUUUAGAAUUGGCAGACUAGAGUCUUGGAGAGGGGAGUGGAAUUCCAGGUGUAGCGGUGAAAUGCGUAGAUAUCUGGAGGAACAUCAGUGGCGAAGGCGACUCCCUGGCCAAAGACUGACGCUCAUGUGCGAAAGUGUGGGUAGCGAACAGGAUUAGAUACCCUGGUAGUCCACACCGUAAACGCUGUCUACUAGCUGUGUGUGCCUUUAAGGCGUGCGUAGCGAAGCUAACGCGCUAAGUAGACCGCCUGGGGAGUACGGCCGCAAGGUUAAAACUCAAAUGAAUUGACGGGGGCCCGCACAAGCGGUGGAGCAUGUGUUUAAUUCGAUGCAACGCGAAGAACCUUACCUACACUUGACAUGCUGAGAAGUUACUAGAGAUAGUUUCGUGCCUUCGGGAACUCAAACACAGGUGCUGCAUGGCUGUCGUCAGCUCGUGUCGUGAGAUGUUGGGUUAAUUCCCGCAACGAGAGACACACCUGUGUCUUUAUUGCCGGCCUUAAAUUGUGGCCUCUCAAGAGAAAUGGCGCGUGAGAAACCCCAAAAAAAUAGUACGACGUCCG